UGCCCUAACUUUAUGCAAAUUUCAUUCUCCAUCUUUUCAGAAAUGUCACACAUUGCUUUAACUGCAUCACCCACCGUAGUCGCUUUUCACCGUGGAGCGAAACAAUGGAGCACGCUGUUUCCGAGUAGCUGGAGAAGCAGGGGAAUCAAUCCAUCCUCAUUUCCAAAUUCCACCAGAAAACGGUUACCGUUGCGGUUUUUUGCUUCUGGAAAAAAUGGCGUCAAUGGAGGUGUUGUGGAUGAGAUAUCUGAAACAGUAAAGGCGCACACGGAUUUCGUUUGGCCUGAUAACAAGAAGCCUAGAGUGUGUAUUUUAGGUGGUGGAUUCGGUGGUUUAUAUACUGCUUUAAGGUUGGAAUCACUCCAGUGGCCCGAAGACAAAAAGCCACAUGUGAGUAUUCGAACAUUCAAAUUCAAUUCAGUUCUUUCAAGUGUGUGGAAAUUGAUGCAAAAUCUAUGAUAGGAAUAACUUAGGAGCAUCUUUCUUGAUGAGAUUAUGUCUCGGUACAGAACAUUCAUCAAUGGAGCAAAAGAGAAAAAAAAAAGAAUCAUAUAACAACGUGGAAAUGCCUUACUCCUAUAUUAGUUUCCUUAACAAGUUCCCUAAUGACACUCUUUAGAAUAUUCCUUAUAUUUAUAUUUAGUGGAGCAUUAUGUUAGAUUGUAAGAGAUGAGAGGAACUGAGUUUAAAUUUAAUCCCAAUUAUAUGUUAUGAUUGCAUGGUGAGGAAUGGAUUAGGAGUAUGUUUGGAUUGACUUAUUUAAAUUUAUCUCCUGACAUAAGCACUUGUGAGUAUGUUUGAAAGAACUUAUGGAAACAGCUUAUGACAUGGCUAUAAAAUGUUUUCAACUUAUAUCUAUAAGCUCUCCAUGAUAGGUUAUGAAAACAACUUAUAGCUUAUAAGAGUAUAGUAUAACUUUAUUUUAUCUUUUAUUAUGGAAAUAGUUUAUACUAAAACCACUAUAUGAUAAACACUUAUGCUAUAAGCGCUAUAUUGAACUGUUUAUCCAAGCUGAGCUUAACUCUCAUGAAUCAUGGUAAGCUGCAAUAUAUUUUGUUCUUAUUUUGCAAGUUGAUUGUACCACUCAUUAUAAAUCUUGCUUAUAUCCUUGCACUGUGGCUUAGUUGUUGAUUUUUCUGCACUUUUUCUGAAAAGCAAUGUGUGACAUUUCUGAAAAGAUGGAGAAUGAAAUUUGCAUAAAGUUAGGGUUGGAUUUAUCGAAGUCAAGAACUUAGAGCAAUGUCUCAUAUUUUGGCAAUCCUAUUACAUGUUGGUUUGAAUGAACAGUUAAACUUCAAAAUGUACAUUCAUAUUUUGGCAUAACUUUGUCUGCUACAGUCAUAUUUUGGUUCUUACUUGUGAAUUGAAUUUCUUGAAUGAUCGAUUACUUGGUUCUUGAAUUGUUCAUGUGCAUCAUAUAAGUUUCUUGAAUUGUUUUAUACGUUAUGACUUAUCCUUGAUGUUGUUUUAUAUGUACAACGCUCAUUCCCUGUGUUUCCGUGAGUUUGACCUUCUCGACGUUGCUGUUCGGUAAAUCCGAGAAACGCGUUAUACCGUUUUGUACCCUAAUUACUUUGCGUUAAAACCAUGGAUAAGACAUGGAUGUAUUCCAAUCGAUUGUCGAAAGAGUACGAGAAUGGGGUAUCGAAAUUUGUUAAGUUUGCUAUUGCGCACGCCAAAGACCCCAAUCGAAUGACAUGUCCUUGCUUGAGUUGCUGUUAUGGGAGUCAGGUUGACGCGGUUCAGUUGGCAUCGCAUUUACUACGGUAUGGAAUUGAUAGAAGUUAUACAUGUUGGAAUUUGCAUGGUGAGAAAAGUAACGAGAAUGUUGAAUCGGGGUAUAAUACGACCUAUGCUUCAAACGACGAUUGCACAGAUACAUAUGAUUAUGAUCGAGUCGAAGAGAUUGCAGAAGCGCUUGAAGAAGAUCUUAAGGACUGUCCCAAAAUGUUCGAGAGGUUGGUAAGCGAUGCAGAGAAACCGUUGUAUAAUGGUUGUACAAAAUUCACAAGAUUAACUUAACGCCUACAAAAAAAAUUACCAUGUAAAAAAAAUUAACUUAACGCCUACAAAACCCGCAUCUAAGGAUAAAGGGAUUUCGCGGCACAACGAGUCUGUUGCAUCACAAAAAGAGGUAUUUGCUCAAGGGUCACAACAACUGAGCCAGAAAAUUGGUAGUCGACAGAAAAACAAAAGGGAUCUUCCAGUGACUUCUUUGCCAAAAAAAGGUGCUUUUGUGCCUCGAUACCAGAUAUCUCUUGAAACACUUGUUGACUCAUCAGAUAUGGCAACAGCUGGUGCUAUUCGCUUACUGGAUAUGGAGGAAGAUAUCUUUGGUUAUUCAUGCACUGAAACAAUCGGAAAAGAAGAUCUGGAACAUAUUUUUCGGCAUCAAGAAUUAGGCGUCGGUGUUAUACACACAUACAUCCGGUUCUUGUAUGACAAUUUCAUGCGCGGGAAUGAUCAAUUGUCAAACAGAUUCCGUUUCGUGUCUUCCUCCCUGGUCAACAAAGCAUUAAUUUGUAGGGAACCGGAUUCAUGUAGAGAGUACUUAGUCAAG